rnacentral:rRNA from 1 species
AUUGAACGCUAGCGGGAUGCUUAACACAUGCAAGUCGAACGAGUGGCGGACGGGUGAGUAAUAUAUCGGAACCUGCCCAGUAGCGGGGGAUAACUACUCGAAAGAGUGGCUAAUACCGCAUACUAUUGUAUCGGCCGAGAUUGGAUUAGCUAGUUGGUGGGGUAAUGGCUCACCAAGGCAACGAUCCCUAGCUGGUCUGAGAGGAAGACCAGCCACACUGGGACUGAGACACGGCCCAGACUCCUACGGGAGGCAGCAGUGGGGAAUUUUGGACAAUGGGGGAAACCCUGAUCCAGCCAUCCCGCGUGUAUGAGAAGGCCUUCGGGUUGUAAAGUACUUUUGGCAGAGAAGCGGUAUCUGCAGAAUAAGCACCGGCUAACUACGUGCCAGCAGCCGCGGUAAUAC